GUUUGAGAUUGUUUUAUUUCACUUGAAACAUUAAACCUUCUAAUUGAUACACUCUAGUUAGAUCACACACUGCGGGACAGCAGAGACGCUGCCUCCGCAACGCCGCUGCAUCCCCUGGCAGUCAAUGAGCGACUUUGUCAGCCGGGAGGAAUACCUUCUGGAAACUUCCCUCCGCUCCCCCGCCAGCCAAGGAGCCCGGUGCCCUGUGGAAAGUAAGCGUGUGGGUCUGGAAGCCAGAUCUCACCUCUGCACCAAAGGCCUGUACUCACCCGGAAGUCUCCCGGGUCAUCCCGUCAGAAAUCCCGAAGGGAGGACUGUGGUGCGUCCUGCGUAGGCCAAGGGGAGGAGCUCCUGCCCCACUGACCUUCCCUCCCAACUGGAAGUCUCACCAAGUCCCGCCAUUCAUAAACAAAGGGCGGCACUGAUGCGAGCCGGUGAGCAAGGGUGCGGAAGGCCUCUGCGUGGCUGCCACCAAAUGCUCAUCGGCACUUCAAGGGCUCCUUAAAAGAGUCAGGUCUCCCAGACCUCAAGGGAACGCUGCUAUCAGAAGACCAAAGGAAAAACAAAAUACCGUGGACGUCCUGUUUUUUACCUUACUGAGAAAAUCUGCCACCAAACACCUGAUUAUUAGAUGGCAAAUAAUCCCCCACACACACACAUAUCCACUGUAUGGGAGACUGGGGCCUUACAUAUAUCAGGGAAGCACUCUCUACUGAGCUAUGUCCCCAUCCCUUUUUAAUUUAUUUUUGGUUUUAUUUUUAGACAAGCCCUUAUUAAAUU
rnacentral:lncRNA from 1 species